UGAAAGAGAAUGAUUUACUUUAUAUGUUGUGCGUUGAAAGAUGGGGCAAAGGGCAGGGGCUUUACAGAAGCUUGUAUUAGCGGAAACUUCUCUACAUUGUUGGGUCUGCCUUGUACAGAAAAAGACCUCUUUGAUUUUCUAUGAACUUGCAACGGUGUGAGAUGUUUGCUCAUUUGGGCUCACAAGAUUUUGCGUUGAAAAGCCCAUCAAGUGUUUUCACCCCCAUAAUACGAGAAUAGGUCUAAUCUUGUCACGGCCCAAUUUCAAAAGCCCAGCCCACAGCCUCAGCCACAGCCGUUCCUUCUUCCUCGCUCUCGGGCCAAGGUUCCAAGGCGCUCGAAUUUCCUCUCCUCCGCAGCUCCUCCCCCAUUGAGGGCAAUAGAAGAGGAGUCGUAGGUGCAAAUCGACGUUUUCGACAAGCGUAAUCAAGAUCGACGACGCUAAUCGGCGUUCGGUUUUUCUCCCCUUCCGUCCUUGCUCGCGCUGAUCGAUCGGUACGCUCGAUCCAGAUCGCAGGUCGCCGGCGGCUUGAGCGCUUCCCGGUAACCCUGAAUUCAGAUUUGCGGUACAUUCUCGGUCUGGGCUUUGUGAGAUGGGGGUUGAACAUGUGUAGAUCUUGUGAUUUGCAGAUUGAGGAAAACGGGGAGCCGCGAAAUUAACUGUUGGUGAGUGAGAGGGCUCGGGACAGAAUGGAGAGGAGUGCUUGAGGAAGAGAGAGGCAGAAGCGGGAAGAAAAAGUGCAGUGCAGCAGGCCUCUCCUUCUUCGCGUCGACCCCGCCCAAGUCCGCUGAGAUCUCCCUCGCGACCGAGCCGGUUAGCGUCAGGGACAGCGCUCGGUCAGCGGCAGGGAGCCUGGUGCCGCUCGGGACGAGACCGAGAUGCCUUAGGCAGAUGACCAGCGUUCUUUGUUCUCUUACGAGGAGAGGAGAGAAUCC
rnacentral:lncRNA from 1 species